rnacentral:rRNA from 1 species
CCUACGGGAGGCAGCAGUCGGGAAUUUUGGGCAAUGGGCGAAAGCCUGACCCAGCAACGCCGCGUGAAGGAUGAAGUAUUUCGGUAUGUAAACUUCGAAAGAAUGGGAAGAAUAAAUGACGGUACCAUUUAUAAGGUCCGGCUAACUACGUGCCAGCAGCCGCGGUAAUACGUAGGGACCAAGCGUUGUUCGGAUUUACUGGGCGUAAAGGGCGCGUAGGCGGCUUGACAAGUCACUUGUGAAAUCUCCGGGCUUAACUCGGAACGGCCAAGUGAAACUGUCAUGCUAGAGUGCAGAAGGGGCAAUCGGAAUUCUUGGUGUAGCGGUGAAAUGCGUAGAUAUCAAGAGGAACACCUGAGGUGAAGACGGGUUGCUGGGCUGACACUGACGCUGAGGCGCGAAAGCCAGGGGAGCAAACGGGAUUAGAUACCCCGGUAGUCCUGGCCCUAAACGAUGAAUACUUGGUGUCUGGAGUAAAUAGUGCUCCGGGUGCCGUCGCUAAACGUUUUAGUAUUCCGCCUGGGGAGUACGCUCGCAAGAGUGAAACUCAAAGGAAUUGACGG